UACGAAGGGGACUAGCGUUGUUCGGAAUUACUGGGCGUAAAGCGCACGUAGGCGGAUUUGUUAGUCAGGGGUGAAAUCCCGGGGGCUCAACCUCGGAACUGCCUUUGAUACUGCAAAUCUCGAGUCCGAUAGAGGUGGGUGGAAUUCCUAGUGUAGAGGUGAAAUUCGUAGAUAUUAGGAAGAACACCGGUGGCGAAGGCGGCCCACUGGAUCGGUACUGACGCUGAGGUGCGAAAGCGUGGGGAGCAAACAGG
rnacentral:rRNA from 1 species